rnacentral:misc_RNA from 1 species
GACGAACCGUACGAACGUUAUUCGGAAUCACUGGGCUUAAAGGGUGCGUAGGCGGCGCGGCAAGUUGGGUGUGAAAUCCCUCGGCUCAACCGAGGAACUGCGCCCAAAACUGCCGUGCUCGAGGGAGAUAGAGGUGAGCGGAACUUAGGGUGGAGCGGUGAAAUGCGUUGAUAUCCUAAGGAACACCUGUGGCGAAAGCGGCUCACUGGAUCUCUUCUGACGCUGAGGCACGAAAGCUAGGGUAGCGAACAGG